CAGUGGCGGCGGCUUACACAUGCAAGUCGAACGCCCCGCAAGGGGAGUGGCAGACGGGUGAGUAACGCGUGGGAAUCUACCUAGUUCUACGGAACAACAGUUGGAAACGACUGCUAAUACCGUAUACGCCCUACGGGGGAAAGAUUUAUCGGAAUUAGAUGAGCCCGCGUAAGAUUAGCUAGUUGGUGGGGUAAUGGCCUACCAAGGCGACGAUCUUUAGCUGGUCUGAGAGGAUGAUCAGCCACACUGGGACUGAGACACGGCCCAGACUCCUACGGGAGGCAGCAGUGGGGAAUAUUGGACAAUGGGCGCAAGCCUGAUCCAGCCAUGCCGCGUGAGUGAUGAAGGCCUUAGGGUUGUAAAGCUCUUUCAGUAGGGAAGAUAAUGACGGUACCUACAGAAGAAGCCCCGGCUAACUUCGUGCCAGCAGCCGCGGUAAUACGAAGGGGGCUAGCGUUGUUCGGAUUUACUGGGCGUAAAGCGCACGUAGGCGGAACGUUAAGUCAGAGGUGAAAUCCUGGAGCUCAACUCCAGAACUGCCUUUGAUACUGGCGAUCUAGAGUCCGGAAGAGGUGAGUGGAACUCCUAGUGUAGAGGUGGAAUUCG
rnacentral:rRNA from 1 species